UACGAAGGGGGCUAGCGUUGCUCGGAAUCACUGGGCGUAAAGCGCACGUAGGCGGCUUUCUAAGUCAGGGGUGAAAUCUUGGAGCUCAACUCCAGAACUGCCUUUGAUACUGGAGAGCUAGAGUCCGGAAGAGGUGAGUGGAACUGCGAGUGUAGAGGUGAAAUCCGUAGAUAUUCGCAAGAACACCAGUGGCGAAGGCGGCUCACUGGUCCGGUACUGACGCUGAGGUGCGAAAGCGUGGGGAGCAAACAGG
rnacentral:rRNA from 1 species